rnacentral:tRNA from 1 species
UCCCUGGUGGCUCAGAGGGUACAGCGUCUGUCUGCAAUGCGGGAGACCUGGGUUUGAUCCCUGGUUUGGGAA